rnacentral:tRNA from 1 species
GGGGCAGCCAAGGCCUACUGGUUAGUGCUUCGGACUUGUAACCGGAGGGUUGCCGGUUCGAACCCUUCACUGCUCCC